GGAUGUGAGGGUGAUCCGGCUGUGACAUGUCACCCCAUUGAUCACCAGGGUUGAUUCCGCUGAUCUGGCCGGCUGGGCAGGCAUCCCCUUCCUCCCUCCCCCCACCAUGUGCGUCCCUCCAGAAGCGGUGCACUUGGCUGCAGAGGUUGACCUUCCCCACUAGAGGAAGACUGGCCUUCAGUCACGGGUUUACAAGUAGCUGCGCACCCCAGCUACAACCUCCAAACAAGCUCUCAAGGUCCAGACAUACUAUACUGAUGCUGCACCUGCUUUGUUCACAGACCUCUGGGAUUGAUAGACCAUGUUCUG
rnacentral:snRNA from 1 species